AUUGGGAAUGUAGCCAUAUAGCCCAUAUCACCAGUUAUAUCUACACAAGAAGAUUAAGAUGAGUACUUCAAAGCCUAGAACAGUUUUUCUCAAGUUUGGUCACCUUACGAUAUCUUGCCUUUAACUCCCAGAAUUCAGCCUAGUGUUAACGUGCACACAUGUUAAAGUGACUAGGGUUGAGAAACACUGCCUUAGAACAUUCACAUAACAUACCAAACCUGCAUUGUUUUAACUUUACUCUGAUUCUUCACAACUCUGUGGGAUGGUCAUCCUAACUGAUGAUUUGGGGCAUUCGUUCACCCAGAAAAUGGGUUAGAAAAGUCACUUUCACUGGGUUCAAUGAGAUUUAUUUCCCAGAAAGGAUAUUUGUCUGGAAAACACCACUUUGGAUUGAAUCCUAGGCAAAAGCUAUUUAUACUUCAUAUGUCUCUCUUCCAGAAGCUAAAAGUGGUGCACAUAAUUUCUUCCUAUACAUUUUAUCCUGUACAUCCAGGGGUGAAAUUCAAAAUUUUUCCCUACCGGUUCUGUGGGCAUGGCUUGGUGGGAGUGGCAGGGGAAGGAUAUUGCAAAAUACACAUUUCCUCCUCACCUCUGACUGGCCCCACUGUGGGGCCAGCCAGGGGUGGUAUUUGCUGGUUCUCAGAACUACUCAAAAUUUCCGCUACCAGUUCUCCAGAACCUGUUAGAACCCGCUGGAUUUCACCCCUGUUACACCUAUAAUAUCCGGUGCGCCAAGGAACUGCCCCAUAAAUUGAUGGGAAUUUGAACUCAGUUCUCCCCAGUCCUAGCGCAAUAGUAUAACAAAGGUCUCAAAUGCCACUAAUCCAUAAUUUAUUUCACCGCCUUCUUCUAUAAUAGGUCAGAACAUGAUGGAUAUGCUCAAACUAAACCACCAAACCUGGUUGGAAAAGCCCAACCCCAUCAGUUCCCACCUUUUGAUCCGAGACAAAAGCAAACACCUUAGGGACUAGCUUCUGUUGCCAAAGAGCCUUUUCAGAAGAAGAGCCAAAGAACCUUUUCUUCCUGCAGAGGUUUGUGGGCGUUGCGCGGUGGUUAUUUACCUAUCACUUUUGCGCAGUGACUUUCCUACUCGCUGACUUCCAGCUGGAGGAGGAGGAGGCGGCAGUGUAAAAAGGGGACAGAGCCUCCCUUCCUCUUCCAUUUACAGGGCGAGAAAGGGGGAUGGGGUCGGGGGCCCGAGAGGGCCCUUCUUCCCUGGCUUCCCCCCCCCCACCUGCACUUCGCAAGAGAGAUCGGGGGCGCUUUCCUCUGGUGCUCCGAUGUUAGAGGAAAACCUGCUAAGAAGAGUGUGAAUAGUCCUGCCAAGUAGUAUCAUCUGGCUGAUCAUAUGAAGACUGGAAAUAAACUGGAUCUGACCUGGUUCGUACUUGAAUGGAUGCCAUCAGCAAAUAUGGAGAAGUUGAAAAAAACAUUCACUUCAGCAUACAACCUAUGGACUUCAACUCCCAGAAUUCAUAAGCUGGCAUGGAGGGACAAAAUAUGGCUACUUGGUAACUGGCAUAUAUUUUUAAUGAUUUCAGUGUCCUGGGGAGUCAAGUGAUCGUCAUCUGCCACCCUUUCAGAGGGCUUCUGACAAUCAAAGUAAAUGGGAGAAACUGGAUUCGCUUAAUUACUGUGUGAUUCUCUUAACAACCACAACAAAAAAGGAAAAAUUGGGCAUGAUUCACUUAAUAACUGCAUCACUUAGGAAGGAAGUUCUGGUCCCAACUGUGGUCAUAAGUGAAGGACUACCUAUAUGUUCAAGGAAUUGUUAAUUCCACCAGGGGUCGGCAACCUUAAACACUCAAAGAGCCACAAAGAUCCUAACCGGAAACCCAUGUUCAAUUCUGGAACCGACCGGAAGUCCAGUUCCCCCAUCAUAGUCUCCUCCUCGCGUGGUGUCCUUUUUCAUCUGCCUGUCCUAACUGAAACCCCUAUCAAUUGUGGAACUGACCAGCAACAGGGAGCCGCAGCAGAGGGACGAAAGAGCCACAUGUGGCUCCAGAGCCGCGGGUCGCUGACCCCUGGAUUUAUAAAAUGAUUACCUCUUCUUUCAGACCCUACUACAGGUAAUUUAGACUAUUUUCUGAGACGUUAUUCAUGAACUACAGUUUCUGAGGAAGGAAAGCCAUCGGCAGCUUAGUGUUUCUGCUAUUUUCCCAAAGAUAAAGAGGAUUUCUCAGUUUGAUGGGAAAGUACCUGGGAUUGUGAAGAUUUGUGCCAAAUAUGUACACUUACAAAUGCACUCUCAAAUUCAUAUUUUGCCCCGAUAGUCAUACAUUAAGAAUGAUCAGGAAACCCAGGUAGGUAGGUAGGAAAGAAGGGAGGGAGAAGAAAGGAUAGGAGGAGAAGAAGAAGGAGAAGAUAGAGGGUUAGAAAGGAUGGUAGUGAGAAGUGGGAAAGAGGUGGGGAAGUAGGAAAGCGAGGAGAAGGAUGGUGGGGAAAGUCGAAGAAGGAUGAGAAGGGUAGAAAGGAUUAAGGGAGGAAGUGGCAGUCGAGCAGCCCUGAUGGAAUAUAAUUUGAGUAUAGGAUCGAUUGUUGGAUAAGUGAUUGUAUUGUACACUGGUCAAAUUGUGGGAAUUAUUAUGGAAAAUAAAAAAUUUUGCUCUAAAAAAAGAAUGAUCAGGAAACUGAUGUCAUCACAGCAGAUCAGGACAACAUGAUACGUGAGGAAAACCAGGAGAUACUUGAAUGGGAAGACACGGUGGGAGUUUCAUAAUUUCUCUAUUCUGACACAUUAACAUUACCAUUUUGUGGCAACUUUGGAGCAGAUGAGGGGGUCCACCAAGGGAACGGGCUUGGGGGUGGUUAUAAAGCCCUAGAGGUGCAGGUUGUAUCCAUCUGUUAAUUCUGACAAACAGCUAAGCAUCCUAUUUUUCUUUAAUCUGUUUGGAAAUUAGUAUUCACAUUGACAGAGUUGUUUGACAGUGAAAUUGGUGGUAUAUAUGUGUUGUGGUCCGCCAGCAGCCUGUGGAGCUGGCAACGGAGUCGGACAGCGAUGAGGCUGAGGAAGAACAUGGACCAGUCCUGGAGGCUGGGGAAGGCCUGGAUGAGGGCUCUGCAUCGGAGGCAAAGGUGGGGUCAGGGCCAUCAGGGAGUGAGGUGCGGACUCCAGAGCCUCCAGAGGCUAACAGUAGUGUUAGGCAGAGGAACAGGAAGAGCCUGUUCCUAAUGCACACAUGAGAAGAGCUGCCAGAAGGCAAGAGCAGCUCAAGCAAAAAGGAAGACUCAGGAGUAGGGCCAAGAAAUAAUUGGCCCCUCCCAUAAGGCUUAAAAAACCAGCAAUGACAUAUGGGCUCUUUGCCGGAAAACAACAUUGAUAGCUUCGUCUUGUUGCAUUUAUUUUGUAUUGGUGUCUUUUGAACUUUUGCCAAAAAAGGCCUUUCGCAGUUUGCCUAAUUGGACCAAGAUUGGUGAUAGGACUGAGGAAUUGUGUUGGGAGGAAUUUGCUUUAAUUUAGUUAAACUACGCUGAGAAUGAAGUAAUUCUC